rnacentral:rRNA from 1 species
UACGAAGGGGGCUAGCGUUGUUCGGAAUUACUGGGCGUAAAGCGCACGUAGGCGGUUUUCCAAGUUGGAGGUGAAAUCCCUGGGCUUAACCCAGGAACUGCCCCCAAGACUGGAAGACUCGAGUCCGAGAGAGGUGAGUGGAAUUUCCAGUGUAGAGGUGAAAUUCGUAGAUAUUGGAAAGAACACCAGUGGCGAAGGCGGCUCACUGGCUCGGUACUGACGCUGAGGUGCGACAGCGUGGGGAGCAAACAGG